rnacentral:rRNA from 1 species
GAUGAACGCUGGCGGCGUGCUUAACACAUGCAAGUCGAACGAUGAAGCCCAGCUUGCUGGGUGGAUUAUUGGCGAACGGUUGAGUAACACGUUAGUAACCUGCCCUUCACUCUGGGAUAAGCCUUGGAAACUGGUUCUAAUACCGGAUAGGAGCGUCCACCGCUUUGUGUGUGUUGGAGAUAUUUAUCGGUUUUGGAUGGACUCGCGGCCUAUCAGCUUGUUGGUGAGGUAAUGGCUCACCAAGGCGACGACGGGUAGCCGGCCUGGGAGGGUGACCGGCCACACUGGGACUGAGACACGGCCCAGACUCCUACGGGAGGCAGCAGUGGGGAAGAGUGCAAAAGGGGCGCAAGCCUGAUGCAGCGACGCAGCGUGAGGGAUGACGGCAUUCGGGUUGUAAACCUAUUUCAGUAGGGAAGAAGCGAAAGUGACGGUACCUGCAGAAGAAGCACCGGCUAACUACGUG